CUUUGUAUUAUCAAAUAAUAUAAUCAAAUAUACAAUAUAAUUAAAAUUACAUUACAACUUUCAUCAUACUAUACCAAAUAUAUCGUACAGGAUUAACCCAAUACAAACCACCACAAGCCUUAUACAAAUAAAAGGCUCAAAGUGCAGUAAGCCAAAAACCCUUAGAGCUUAUAGGGCAACUUAAGAUCCAACUCAAUUGAAAAGGAGGAAGCAAAUAUUAGCGCCGCCGCAACAUGCAAACGAAGCACAGGACAACAGCACUGAAGAACCAUAAAGGCACACAGAAAAGAGAAGACAGAAACUGAAUGUGAGAAUAGAAACUCAUUUUCAACCAGUCCCUGUACGAAAAAAUUGCAACCUCAUCUCAAGAUCACAAACAAUCACAGAAUCUAGGAAGCUCCACGAGGAGGUGCGGCAGAGCGUAAGGAUUGGGCGCUUUCAAAGAUGCCAGUAACGUCCCCAUAAAUACCCAUCCUCCAAACCGACAAGUAAAGUAGUACCCUCACGUAGACAAUCUCUACACCCCAGGUGGCCAUGGCCCAAGCAGAGUCGAAGCAAUAUUACCACCCAUAAAAGUAGGUCAUCCGUCAAGCACCCUCUCUAGUAUCUCCAAACCUGCAAAAGAAACCGAAAAAAUUCAAAACAAAUCCAUUUACAACCCCAUACGGCAAGAGGAGGAUGAGAACCCACAAAAACCAAACAAGGAGAAGGGCUCUCCUUGCCCGGAAGGGGCAAAUUCCACUAGAGAAUGCGAAGAAAAUCUCAGAAAAAGAGAAAGGAUUGAUUGGUUGAAUUUGGGAUAUAUAAUUAGGUUUAUGAACAUUUUUUCCAAUGUAGAUUUAUGAACAUUGUGCGGCUAAAUUUCAUUUUUGUGAAUAUAUUGAGAUUUGUGAAGUUUUAUUAUUUAUAUAGAGUUAUGCCAUGUAUGUACUGG
rnacentral:misc_RNA from 1 species